rnacentral:pre_miRNA from 1 species
UAAGUACUCCCUCCGUUCGGAAUUACUUGUCAUCAAAAUGGAUGUGUCUAGAACUAAAAUACAUCUAGAUACAUCCAUUUCAGUGACAAGUAUUUUCGGAGGGAGGGAGUACAAG